rnacentral:rRNA from 1 species
AGUGAACGCUGGCGGUAGGCCUAACACAUGCAAGUCGAACGGCAGCACAGUAAGAGCUUGCUCUUACGGGUGGCGAGUGGCGGACGGGUGAGGAAUACAUCGGAAUCUACUUUUUCGUGGGGGAUAACGUAGGGAAACUUACGCUAAUACCGCAUACGACCUACGGGUGAAAGCAGGGGAUCUUCGGACCUUGCGCGAUUGAAUGAGCCGAUGUCGGAUUAGCUAGUUGGCGGGGUAAAGGCCCACCAAGGCGACGAUCCGUAGCUGGUCUGAGAGGAUGAUCAGCCACACUGGAACUGGGACACGGUCCAGACUCCUACGGGAGGCAGCAGUGGGGAAUAUUGGACAAUGGGCGCAAGCCUGAGCCAGCCAUACCGCGUGGGUGAAGAAGGCCUUCGGGUUGUAAAGCCCUUUUGUUGGGAAAGAAAAGCAGCAGGUUAAUACCCCGCUGUUCUGACGGUACCCAAAGAAUAAGCACCGGCUAACUUCGU